AGAGUUUGAUCAUGGCUCAGAACGAACGCUGGCGGCGUGCCUAACACAUGCAAGUCGAACGAGAAACUUCCUGCUUGCAGGAAGGAGUAAAGUGGCGCACGGGUGAGUAUUGCGUGGUGUCCCCUCCACUGAAUUCGGGAUAACUCCUCGAAAGAGGUGCUAAUACCGGAUGCUGUCCCAGAGAUGGUGGUCUCAGGGAUAAAAGGUGACCUCUUCAUGAAAGUUGCCGUUCAGGGACGGGCCCGCGUACCAUUAGCUUGUUGGUAGGGUAAUGGCCUACCAAGGCUGCGAUGGUUAGCUGGUCUGAGAGGAUGAUCAGCCACACUGGAACUGGAACACGGUCCAGACUCCUACGGGAGGCAGCAGUGAGGAAUUUUGCGCAAUGGGGGAAACCCUGACGCAGCAACGCCGCGUGAGUGAAGAAGGCCUUCGGGUUGUAAAGCUCUGUCAAGUGGGAAAAAAGCCUUUUGGUGAAUAGCCUGGAGGUUUGAUGGUACCACUAGAGGAAGCACCGGCUAACUCCGUGCCAGCAGCCGCGGUAAUACGGAGGGUGCAAGCGUUGUUCGGAAUUACUGGGCGUAAAGCGCGUGCAGGCGGUAAGGUAAGUCAGAUGUGAAAGCCCCGGGCUCAACCCGGGAAGUGCAUUUGAUACUGCCUUUCUUGAGUAUGGGAGAGGAGAGUGGAAUUCCCAGUGUAGAGGUGAAAUUCGUAGAUAUUGGGAGGAACACCCGUGGCGAAGGCGACUCUCUGGACCAAUACUGACGCUGAGACGCGAAAGCGUGGGGAGCGAACAGGAUUAGAUACCCUGGUAGUCCACGCCGUAAACGAUGAGAACUAGGUGUAGCGGGUAUUGACCCYUGCUGUGCCGCAGCUAACGCAUUAAGUUCUCCGCCUGGGGAGUACGGCCGCAAGGCUAAAACUCAAAGGAAUUGACGGGGGCCCGCACAAGCGGUGGAGCAUGUGGUUUAAUUCGACGCAACGCGAAGAACCUUACCUGGGCUUGACAUCCCGGGAACUCUGUGGAAACACGGGGGUGCCCCUUCGGGGGAACCUGGUGACAGGUGCUGCAUGGCUGUCGUCAGCUCGUGUCGUGAGAUGUUGGGUUAAGUCCCGCAACGAGCGCAACCCUUGCCUUUAGUUGCCAUCAUUAAGUUGGGCACUCUAGAGGGACUGCCGGUGCUAAACCGGAGGAAGGUGGGGAUGACGUCAAGUCCUCAUGGCCCUUAUGCCCAGGGCUACACACGUGCUACAAUGGUCGGUACAAAGGGCAGCGAACUCGCGAGAGCAAGCAAAUCCCCAAAAGCCGAUCUCAGUUCGGAUCGAAGUCUGCAACUCGACUUCGUGAAGGUGGAAUCGCUAGUAAUCCCGGAUCAGCAUGCCGGGGUGAAUACGUUCCCGGGCCUUGUACACACCGCCCGUCACACCACGAAAGUUGGCUGUACCAGAAGUCGUUGGGCUAACCCGCAAGGGAGGCAGGCGCCCAAGGUAUGGUCAGUGAUUGGGGUGAAGUCGUAACAAGGUA
rnacentral:rRNA from 1 species